GCCGUCGUGGCUCAGUGGUAGAGCGGUCGCCUCGUAAGCGACAGGUCGAGGGUUCAACUCCCUCCGACGGCU
rnacentral:tRNA from 1 species